UACAGAGGGGGCAAGCGUUAUUCGGAAUUAUUGGGCGUAAAGGGCGCGUAGGCGGCCUGACAAGUGGAAGGUGAAAUCCCUCGGCUUAACCGAGGAACUGCCCUCCAAACUGCUUGGCUUGAGACCGGGAGAGGUGAGUGGAAUUCCCAGUGUAGCGGUGAAAUGCGUAGAUAUUGGGAGGAACACCAGUGGCGAAGGCGGCUCACUGGACCGGUACUGACGCUGAGAAGCGAAAGCGUGGGGAGCGAACAGG
rnacentral:rRNA from 1 species